rnacentral:rRNA from 1 species
UACGUAGGGGGCUAGCGUUGCUCGGAAUCACUGGGCGUAAAGCGCACGUAGGCGGAUUGCUAAGUCAGGGGUGAAAUCCUGGAGCUCAACUCCAGAACUGCCUUUGAUACUGGUGAUCUUGAGUCCGGGAGAGGUGAGUGGAACUGCGAGUGUAGCGGUGAAAUGCGCAGAUAUUAGGAAGAACACCAAUGGCGAAAGCAGCUCUCUGGGACGGUACUGACGCUGAGACGCGAAAGCGUGGGGAGCGAACAGG